UGGCUGUACAGUAAUCUGUAUUUUUUUUAUCUUUCCACCUUGAUUUUAAGUGUGCACCGUAAUUAUCUCGUUGACAAUCAUACCACGAGAUAAUUACGGUACACACUUAAAAUAUAAGAAUAUUUAUAAAUAUGUAUUGAAACAAUAUACAAAAUAAACACAAAAUAAAAAGAAGAAACAGAGGUAGAAGCACUAAGUCUUAG
rnacentral:lncRNA from 1 species